AAACUCUUCAACCUCCGUUAUAGUUUGCAUGCACAAAAAAUGUAAACUAAAGAUGUGAGCAAAUACUUCGAUACGUUAUUUCGAUAAUAUCUCAGAAAGAUGUCAGAAAAACGAACAAAUGAAGAUUCCCAAUUGCGCUAUUUGUGACCUGCCUUUGGAUGGAGCAUCAACUGUAAAAAUUGGAGAAAAAGGAGCUACAAACCAAGCCUGUUUAAGAAGAAAAGAAUGUAACGUUAAUGUUAGUGAAGGGUGUGUAGUACAUACAAAGUGCCGUAGACAAUACAUUCAUACAUGAAAUGUAAAACAACAAGAUCCAACUAAUAAUAAGACUUCUGCAUCAACAAGGUCCUCCUAUUCAUUUGAUUUUAAGAACAAAUGUCUGCUUUGUGGGAAAGAUGCAAAAAUCACAAACAAAAAAAGAAGCAUUGAUGUUUAUGCUGUUUGCACUUGUGACUUUCAAAAUAAAAUAAAGGAAAAAUGUGCUGAAAGAGAUGAUGAGUGGUCACAGGAAAAACUCCAUAGAAUUGCAUCUCAGUGAUUGACCUACCAGCAGCAGAUGCAUUGUAUCAUCAAAACUGUAAUGUAAAUUUCAGAACUAACCGCGCUAUUCCUAAACCGUUUGCAGAUUGCGAGGCAAGUCCAAGUAAAAAGUUUGCAGGUAGACCAGACUGUAUAGAUACGGAUGAGGGUUUUAAAACAGUUGUUUCCUUUAUAGAGGAAAAUGUUGGAUGGGUAUUUUCCCUUGGUAAUCUUGUUAGUGUUAUGGAAGAGCAAUGUGGAGAAAGAACCUAUUCAAGUAAAUAUUUAAAGAAGAAAUUAAUUGACCAUUUUGGGGAAAGGCUAUCAAUAAAUACUAUAACAGGAAAAGAGGACACUUUAACGUUAAACAAACUGCAGCUGAAAUCUUGUAUGAAACAGCAAAAUCAGGAUCCCAAGUUUCAGAGCAGGCGAAAAGACAAAAGGUGCUUAUGGCUGCAGCUAAAAUUAUUAAACAUGACAUUGAUCUUGUACAACCAAACAAGAAAUUUUAUCCAACAUUUUCAGCUAUAGCUUCGUCUGAAGAAAACAAGAAUUUUGUUCUGGAAAGUCUCUGCCUUUUCCAGAGUACAAUGUUUUGUGAAAAAGAAGUUGAGAUGAAGUUAUUGUCAAUAGAACAAGCUGUAGUGCAAUUUGAUGCAUUUUCAAAAGUUAUUUGGACAUUGAAACCAUCAAAACCUAGUUGGUCUGGUUUUAUGCACUUGUUUGACCAACCUGGAAAUUGCACAUACCCCGGGAAAGCAAGUAUCACUUUCCUGCCUAUGAUUGACAUGGAUGCAAGUGAUGUAUCAUGCAUACAUUCUACUUUACAUUACGUCACAGAUCAACCUCAUAGGUACAAUGAUACUCCAGUACUCACUUUUGACCAACCAUUAUUUCAAAAGGCAACCCACAUAAUUGAAUGCGUUGACAGCAAAAGUAGAUUGAAGCACGUAGUUCUAAGGUUGGGAGCGUUUCAUGGAUGAGUUUUCUCGGCUGUAUCGGUCAUUUAAUGUCCGGCUCAGGGCUACAAGAAGUUUUACAAACUUUUUAUGCUGGAAAUGCUGUCACCCACAUGAUGAUGGGAUGGGCUGUUAGUAGAGCAACCAGGGGACAAUUUCUUGUUGACAAUGCACUUCAUGCGCUACUAAUUUUAAAAUCAUUUGGAGUAGACUUACCUUUAGAGAGAAAAUCAUCGGAUGACAUUACAAUUUUCCCAAAUCAACUGAAGAUUAAUGAAACAAAGAGAUGUGAUGAGGAACAACCAAUGCAUUCAAAUACAGACCUUAUCCUUUCCGAGUUACCAGGCGUGUCUUACAAAGCCGAAAUACUAGACCAUCUGGAUGAUCUGUAUGAUAAACUUCAAAAUCAUCAAAUAUCUAAAGACGAUGUGCGCAAAAGUUUUAGUUUCAAAGAGAUUCAGGAGAAUUUGAUGGCUGUCAGGAUGAAAUUGAAGCACAAAAAGACAUCAGCAUUGUGGUUCCAAUACAUGGAUAUGGUUUCUAUCAUGCAACAAUUCAUAAGAGCCGAAAGGACAGGGGAUUGGGUAUGUCAUCUCAAAACACUGAAGGAAAUGUUGCCAUAUUUUGCAGCCUUGGGCCAUAAUUUGUAUUUAAAAUCGGCACAUAUUUACCUACAGAAAAUGAUGAAACUGGAAGAGGUGAAUCCUAUUGUUUAUCAGCAAUUUCUCAAUGGAUUCCAUUGCAUUAAACGUAGUGACAGAUAUUGGGCUGGUUUGUCAACAGAUCUAACAAUAGAACAAGUGUUAAUGAGAUUGUUGAAAACCUCAGGAGGCUUAACAAGAGGACGGGGUAUGACAGAAGAACAAAGAGCGUUGUGGGUGUCAAUGCCAGCAAACGCCAAAAUGAACAAUGCAGUGCAGCAAUUCUCAAAGACUGACUAUGAGACUAGUGAUCAACAUAAAGAAGAGGGAAAGUCAAGGUCCACCAGAGAUGAAAGGGAUUCUAAAGAAAUAGUACGCUUUCUGAAUGAUCAUUCACCGUUUGAUGAAUCGGACUCAAACUUAAGAAACAUUGAAACUGGUGUUCCGGCUGACGGAAGAGUGAACGUUGAAACUGCAAAUAGUUUUGCAAAGACAUCGUUAGCAAUAUGACAGGAAAAACAGUGCUCACUUAUUCCUUCAAAAGAUCGAAACAAGUAAUAACGAUGCAUGACAAAAUGUCUCGGAAGGUCAGCGAUGGCACAAUACAAAUAGAUCCUUAGCUUCUUUUUCAAAGAAUAACUGCAGUGGCUGAUAGAUAUGUGGAAGAUCUGUCAUCAAUAUUCAAAUACGAGCUAUGCAGUAUCCCUUCUUCAUUGUUUGACAAUGAUGGAUUACCUCGUGUCCCUCAGAAGUCCAUGCUGGCUGAUGCCAUUUGGAAAUUUGGAGAUUGUUCCAAAACAACAGAACCAUCAGGAACAACAGAUGAUCCCAACAUGUCGUAUGUUUUAGACGGCGGAAGAAGAUCCCUUGGUAAAAAAAUAGUACGUUCAUGUCGAUUUGCGAAAAAUACUUCAACCAUAUUUCACAGAGAUAUCCACAUCAAUUCACUACUGUGGUUUUCGAUGGGUAUUCUAACGGACCAUCAACAAAGGAUAUAACACACCAUCGUCGAAGUAGAGGCACAAUUGACACCAAUGUGAACUUUACAUUCAAUACUCCAUUUAGAUCUAAGAAGGUGAGGAGACAGACUUUCUUGUGCUGUUAUGUUAUCAUGUCAGUGAUAAAUCAAAACAUAUUUAUUUCAGAUCAGACAAACACAGUACUUCAAUGAAAUCCCCAAAAGUGUUGGACAUGCAUAAAACCCAAACUAUAUUGACAAGGCAAAUAUGCAGUUGCUACCCUUUUUACACGCGUUAACAGGGUGCGACACUACCUUACAGAUAUUAGGCGUAGGGAAGACAUCAGCACUCAAAUUUUUUCAAAAGAAUAAAACCUUUCAGGAAAUUGCAUCACGUUUCGUCGUCAGCCAAACGAAGGAGUAAAUAAUAGAACUUGGAGAAAAGGCAGUAUAAUCAGUUCUUGAGGGUGAUUUAAAUAGCACUCUUAACAAUGAACAUUUCAAACGUUUUUCUUCGCAAGUAAUGCGAAGUACCACUGUUGUUCAAGUUCAAAGUUUAUCUCCAACAUCUUCUGCAGCAAUAUUCCACUUGCUUCGCGUGAACUUCCAGCUACAAAACUGGACAUCAACUGCUAUUCUCCAACCGGAAGAAUGGGGCUGAGAGGUUUCUGAUGGAGUUUUAGUGCCAAUCAAAACACAACUCCCCCUGCCCUGGAAUAUUUGUUCUUGUAGAAAACUUGGGCUAGAUUGUUCAUUGGGAUGUGGAGAAUGUCGGGGAACGAGCUGUUCAAAUUCCCGAAUCAUAGAAGAACACGAAAUGGACGAUAUGUUUUCUGACACUGAAAACGUAUAUUAACUUUCCCUGAACGCUUUACCAAACUACACCAUGAGACGAUUCUAGUGAGCACCAACACCAUAGGAUGAAACGAACAAUAAAAGUUAGUAUGGCUCAAGAUCACCUAGAGAGAACAUCCAAAAAUUCCAGGCUUGAGGUGAUCUCUGAAGCCACUG